AGCUGGGGUGGCAUAGUGGUUCAAGUGCUGGAUUAGGACUUGGGAGACCAGGGUUCAAAUCCCUGCUCAGCCA